rnacentral:tRNA from 1 species
GUGGUUGUGGCUCAGGGGCAGAGUGCUUGCCUAGCAUGUGUGAGGCACUGGGUUCGAUUCUCAGCACUACA